AAUUCUCAACCUUGAAAGGCUUGUCUUUUCAAUGGCUUGGAUGUGAGGGUUUUGCUGGCUUCCUUCAGUGGAUAGUCUGCUCCCUUUAAAAGCAUUAGUGGGAUCCUUUGUGGACGGUCACUUGGUGUGAUAAUUAUCUACGCCGUUUGUACUGUGAAGCAAAACUUGUGGGAACCUGCUUAUACCCGUCUGUAAUGGACAAUUCUUGAAC
rnacentral:misc_RNA from 1 species